rnacentral:lncRNA from 1 species
UCAUUUUGCGAAAUUCUUGUUGCUUCGUGUUCCUUGAUCCUUCUUCUCCAACUGUUUCAUCAAUCCAUUGCCAAAAAGCAUUCAAAUCGUGACUGUCUAAAGUAUGUGCAACAAUGGAGUUUUAUGAAUUCUUCCUCCUGGAUCGUGUUCGAGCUAACCUAAGCGUUCCACUCACCUUCCUCAACAUUCUUCUUCAUCUGUUUUGAAGAAUCACAUCAAGAAGCUUCAAG